UGUGGUGUUUUGUGCUCUAAAUAAGAUCUGGGAAGAGUCCUGAACCACUAGCAGGAAACAAAAGACUAAUGGAGAUGGGUCACUUUCUUACCAAAAAGUUUCUCCAUUCCUUUCUUCCAUUGGAAAGGUCAGUUCCUGCUGAAAACAUGUUCAGAAAUGCACUUCAGCCUGGCCUUUGCUUACCUUAGCUGUGUGACAUGCUCAACAUAAAGUGCUCCUACAUUCCUCUAUGACAAACCUCACAGAGUAUCCAGGAACCAAAAACCCAGGCCACUUCUCCCUUGCAGUGGCCCUUCUCAGCAGGUGGCUUGCUUGUAGGUACGCUUAAUGGAAACAGAUAGAUGCAGUCAACUGAGUCGCGUAUGUUUAACAUGCUUUGAGGUGCAUUAGCA